AAUUAAGCAGAUAAUGGAUGCCUUGGACGCUAUAGACCGAAGAAGGACGUACAUGACCACGAAAGUCGCUGGGGAGCUGUCAAGAAGCUUUGAUCCGGCGGUGUCCGAAUGGGGAAACCCCUCCGUAAGGAGAACUGUGUUACAUAGAGAAAUUCAAAAUAUUAAAUUCUAAAUCUCAAAUAAAUUCUAAAUUAAAAAUAUCAAACGUUUUAAAUUUUGAUUUUUAUUAUUUAUUUGGAUCUUAGGAUUUUGAAUUUGGGUUUUUGUAUGUAGCACAGUGGGGAACGCCUCGAACUGAAACAUCUAAGUAGGGGCAGGAAAAGAAAUCAACGAGAUUCCGUAAGUAAGCGGAGAGCGAAAGCGGAACAGUCUAAACCCGAUUAUUGUGCGCAAGCGCAUCAACCGGGGGUUGCGGGGCAAAUGAUAUGGGAUAAAAGUUGGAUAGUUGAACAUUUUGGAAUAAUUGACCAAAGAGGGUGAAAGUCCCGUAAGUAGAAUUCAACUUUUCUCUAAUUUGUACCCAAGUACCAUGAGGCACACCACCUUGUGGGAAUCCGGGGUGACCACACUCCAAGACUAAAUAUCGUAGCGUACCGAUAGUGAACUAGUACCGUGAGGGAAAGGCGAAAAGAAGGGUGAAAAACCUAGUGAAAUAGAACCUAAAAUUAUCUGCUAUCAAGCAGACAGAGCCGUAAGGUGAUGUCGUGCCUAUUGAAGAAUUAUCCGGCGAGUUUUUGAUUGUUGCAAGUUUAACCCCGCCAAGCGGGGGGAGGCGUAGCGAAAGCGAGUCUUAACAGGGCGAUUAGCAGCAAUUGAAAGACCCGAAACCAGGUGAGCUAACCAUGAGCAGGGUGAAUCUCGCAGAAAUGUGGGAGGAGGCCCGCACUCGUUAAUGUUACAAAAUUAUGAGAUGACUUGUGGUUAGAGGUAAUAUGCCUAUCGAACCUGGAGAUAGCUGGCUCUCCCCGAAAUAUAUAUAGGUAUAGCCUUGUGUGAAAAUGUACGAGUGGUAGAGCACUGAAUGGUCCUGAUUGCGCAAGCAGUUUGGACCAAAUAAACUCCGAAUACUUGUAUGGACCCCACAGGAGUCAGAACGGCGCGGCUAAGCGCGUCGCUCUAAAGGGAAACAACCCAGACUGUCGUCUAAGGUCUCUAAGUGAUACUUAAGUGUUAAACGAAGUCGAAUUCCCCAGACAACCAGGAGGUUGGCUCAGAAGCAGCCAUCCUUUAAAGAAAGCGUAACAGCUCACUGGUCGAAAACCUGGGAAUUUGGCGCGAAAAAUUAACCGAGGCUAAAGUAUCCACCGAAGACACAGAUUUUCGUGCAUGGCACGAACAAAUUCAAAAAUAAAAUACUAAAUUCAAAAUUCAAAUAACCAAAUAAAUUCCAAGGUUUUAAAUUCAAAAUACUAAACGUUUAAAAUUUAAGUAUUAGAAUUUAGAAUUUAUUUGAGAUUUAGAAAUUAGAAUUUAGAAUUUCGACUUGGAUUUUUUCGCGCUGUGCAUGGGAAUGGUAGGGGAGCGUUGAGAGAACAGUGAAGAUCACCCGUAAGGGUUUGGUUGGAGUGAUCUCAAGUGAGAAUGCCGGAAUGAGUAGCGUAAUCAGGCUGAGAAUGCCUGACGCCGAAAACCCAAGGUUUCCCCAGCUACAUUGUUUGACUGGGGGUGAGUCGGCACCUAAGGCGAGGCCCAAGAAGGCGUAACCGAUGGACGAGCCGUUGAUAUUCGGCUACAUAGUAAGUAUCGUUACCAGUUGGGGAUGGACAAAAGGAGAGUAAUCGAGCGCCUAUAGUGAAUGGGUGUUUAAGCUGUAAGACAGUUGGUCCUGGAAAAUCCGGGCCGGCGUUUAAUCGAGCAGUGACGAAAAGUCCAAGUCGCAAGGUGAGGACGAUUUGAUGAUCUUUCUUUUUCAAGAAAAGAUUCGCAACGAGAUAUUUAUUAUGCCGUACCGUAAACCGACACUGGUGGGUUGGUCGAGAAGACUAAGGCGAUCGGGAAAAGGUGGUUCAAGGAACUCGGCAAAAAAGCUGGACGUAAUCUAGAGAGAUGUCCUCCCGUCAAAGUUUUGCGCAAGCAAAAUUUAGUCGGGCGCAGCAAAAGAGUGUUUUGCGACUGUUUAACUAAAACACAGGUCCGUGCGAACUCGAAAGAGGCGGUAUACGGGCUGAGACCUGCCCAGUGCUCGUAAGUUAAGUGAAUGGGUGAUCACGCAAGUGUUAGCCUUGAAAUGAAGCUCGAGUGAACGGCAGCAGUAACUAUAACUGUCGACUAUAGGGCAGUUUUAAAAUUUGGCUAUUUGCUGGAAUAUCUGAGUAUCCUACACUAGUUGACUUCGUAUUAACUUCGGAGUUAAACUGAAAAUGUGUUAGGUGCAGACAAUCAGCAGGAAAGAGUUCCAAAAGAUAGAGUUAAUCUAAAUUAUUAUUUAGCCGGUUUUGUAGACGGUGAAGGCAGUUUUUCUGUCUCAAUCCGCAAUACUGGAGCUAAAAGAAGAUUUGGAUGGACGAUAGAUCCGUUUUUUCAAGUGUAUCAACAUAAAGAUAAUUCUCAUAUUCUAUUUAUCUUUAAAGAAGCUUUAGGAUGUGGAUAUGUUAGUAAGAAAGGAGGAAAUCCCUCAUGUUUUGUUUACUGUGUAGACAAAAUGGGUGACCUUCUGUCAGUAAUAAUUCCAUUUUUUGAUACUUAUCCACUAGUUGGAGAAAAGUAUCAGAACUUUCUUCUUUUUAGAGAAGUAGUUAUUAGAUUAUCUAAUAAAGAGCACUUUACGAAACAAGGUUUUAUAGAAAUUGUAAAACUUUGUUUUAGCAUGAAUAGGAACGGAAUUUAUAGAAAAAAUAGUUUGGAAACUAUACUAUCAUCUUUGGAAAAAUCCUCAGAGACUAUACGCCAAACUCCUGCAAGGGAGAUGAUAUAGUCCGAUCUCUAUGGCGACAUAGAGGAUCCCUGCAAUUUGUGGGGUGAUAACGUGAUGUCUAUGGUAGCGAAGUUCCUUGUCGGGUUGGUCAUAAAAAACUUGCUCGAUCCCGACUAAGUCGGGAACACUCGGGAUGUUACCAAAUGUGUUUAAACAGAAAAAAAUAAUCCAAUUCGUGCAUGAGUGGAAAAUCUGGCUAUAUGCUGGAAUAACUCAGUAUUCGACAGUACCCGUCAAAGUUUUGCAAUGCAAAAUUUAGUCGGGUAAAAAUCUGUUCGAUGGAGUCAAUCAG
rnacentral:rRNA from 1 species